UCCCUUAAACCUGAGAUUCCUCCCCAAGAGCCCCAGACCUCGGUCAGCAGCUUUGUCAAGUGAUAGCCUGAGGCUUCUUGGUUGUUAAGUUAUUCUGUUUCCACAUUAGCCUUAAAGAGAGACAAAAACAUUUCCUUCAGCUGGUGUGUGUGUGUGUAUGUGUGUGUGUGUGUGUGUGUGUGUGUGUGUGUGUGUGCGUGUGUGUGCUUUUAAGUUGUAUGAAAAUGAAGCAGUUUCAUGGACUGCCUGACUGGUCCUUUAAUUUAGAUUUCCCCUUAUUUUUACAGAUACUUAAAGCUUCAAACAGACUGCCCCUACUACCACAGGAGGACCAGACUAAUCAUACGCUCCAAAAGAUGGCUGUGAUAGAUCUUGUGAUGUAGUUACUGGCAUAUCAAGGUCUUUGGGAUGAACACUAAAGAUGUGUAGAGUGAAUUACAGUUACAGUCCGCUGGCAUUUUAGUGAAUCUGUUUUUAAUCAUGUUACUUACGUUCCUGCAGGCCCUUACUUGAGAGCAUCUGUAUCUCGGUUGGGUUGCCUUUUUUUUUUUUUUUUUUUUUUGUGGUACAGCUUUAGUUUCUCUAUGUUUAUGUGUAUUUUUCAGUGAAGACUUGGUAAUUACAUUGAUAAUGUGGCAGAAAUUGUCAUGACAGGGUUUUAAUAUAUUCUUAAUAAUUAGAAUUACCUGUGUUGAACUGACUUGUAUGAGCACUGUUAAUGGGGACUUGAAGCCAUGGUGGGCCCCUUGUAUUAAUGAGCGAGGCCCUAGUAUGCUGAGGAGAAGCUCUGAGUGGUAUAUGUCUGCACUGAUAUUCUUAUCACGACUGGUCGCAUUAGCUUCUUCAUGUGGACAUGUUACAGCACUGGCUUUGAAACUUUUUGUAGUUUUUAGAUGUUUAUUUGAAAGUGUAACAUUUUAAGAUGCAAAAGAUCACUAAUAUGCUUUUCAAAGCGAGGAGAAAAUUAAGCUCCUUGUGGGGACAUAAGGUAAACAGUUGCUUGCAAAACAUACACGUCCUCACGCUUCAGCAUGCUAGGUCAAUUUUAUAAGAACUGUAGGCCAGUUGGUAUUUAUUUACCAGAAAACUUAUAUAAAUUAUUGCUGUAUAGCUUAAGGACUGCCCUAUGCUGGUCUGAAUGGGUACCACCCUCUUAGCCCUGGUGUCUGCUCAGGGCUAUCACUAGGUGAAGUCCACAAUCCCUCAGGUUGAGGAAAUUCAGGGUAUAUGAGAAGCAGUCACUGAGCCCAAAGUUUGCUGCUGGGUCUAAGGGAUGAGCCUCUCUCUUCCUUUAUACACUGGUGGAUUUAUCAUAUUUUUAGUGUGGUUUGUUUGUGGCUAAGGAAUAGAGCUGUGAGGAAAAAUUGAUUUGUAUGCUGACAUACAGUUUGAGGAGAGCCACCAGCCAUUUAAAAAAAGCCAUAUGGUUGUUUGAUUUGUGGGCCAGUGGCAGCUCUCGACUACGGUAACACUGUUCUAAGAUAAAGCCAUUUUUUCCCCUUCCUCUAGGAUAAAAUCAGAGUCAGCCUUAUGAUUGAAAACUGUGACCCCAUGAUGUCCAUGUGCUGGUGUCUCAGUUUAAAUCAAUAAGCAAUAAUUUUUAAAGCUGUGAUAUAGAUGCUGUAGAGCUAAAACUUGAAUUAAAACAAAGCUCUUCAUAGUGCAAGUCGUAGAACACUACUUUUUACACUACCAUAUUUUUUUAGGGUGACUUAGAAGUGACACCCCACUGGUAAAUGGCUGAAAUAAGUUUCUCUGGACCUCUGUAUAUGAUCUUAUGUAGAACUCUGGGAAGUGAGGGUUCAUUGGGGCCAACUUCAAAUACUUUGAUAAAAAGCAAUAUGUGAAUUAAUGAGCCUUGUCCUUUACAAACGUGUGCCAUGCUGGGUGACAGGGGUGGGUUGUCUGAAAAUGUUAAUGUCUUUUGUGCAAUGUUGCUGAAGAGCAAUAAAAUGCAGAUGAAUCUUC